GAGACAGCAGCAGCCGCGGGAAUACGGAGGGGGCUAGCGUUGUUCGGAAUUACUGGGCGUAAAGCGCACGUAGGCGGCUUGGUAAGUUAGAGGUGAAAGCCCAGGGCUCAACCCUGGAAUUGCCUUUAAGACUGCCGAGCUAGUAGGUGAGAGAGGUGAGUGGAAUUCCGAGUGUAGAGGUGAAAUUCGUAGAUAUUCGGAAGAACACCAGUGGCGAAGGCGACUCACUGGCUCAUUCUAGACGCUGAGGUGCGAAAGCGUGGGGAGCGAACAGGAUUAGAGACCCCUGUAGUCCCUGUCUCUUAUAC
rnacentral:rRNA from 1 species